AGGUCGUUAGCUCAGUUGGUUCAGAGCGCUGCCUUGACAGGGCAGAGGUCACCAGUUCGAGCCUGGUACGACCUA
rnacentral:tRNA from 10 species